AUUACCGAUGAAUUCAUUAGAAGUAACGGGAAAGAAAACAGUAGCAUACAAGUAGUCUACCAUCACUACCACCAACUCUUUUAUUAAAAAUCUUCGUUCUGCUGAAUGCAUCAUGCAGUUAAUAUAGGGAAAGCUAUGAAAAAUAUCAUAUCAUCUAGGCCAUGGGUAAUCUUCAGGUUUAUUUCAGCAGCUUAAGAGACGAAUGUGAACAAAUGCAGGGCACAUACCAACAUGUGUUGUAUUUUUCUGUUAAACACGAGCAAUUCAACAUGACUAACUGUUUGAUGCCAAAUUUAGUUGGAACUCAACUCACAUACAUUCAGAUAACUGGUGCUGUUGCCUUUCAGCCACAGGCAGGAAAAUUAUUCUUUUCUUCAGAAAAUUGGCUGCUGGAGUAAUCUGGUGUUUAUGCUCAUUUGAUACAUUUCGUGCCAGCUAGUGAAAGCCGAAAGGCAUGUCGAAUUCAAUUGAGCUGCUGCGUGCUGUCUCGAAGCAAGCAAUCCGGCCGUUGCGUUCAGUCAUUUGGAACAGGAAAUCUAAUGGCUGUCAACAUGUGGCUGUGAAUAAGUGGCUGAAAUUAUGUCCACCAGAUGGCGCGAGUGUCUUCAUUUUGUUCCAAGACGCAGCGGAAAUUGAUUGUUGGUUGUGACGUUUCUCACGAUGAAAAUUAAAAGCACGUAGAAACCAAUUUACCAAAUCAUUCAACUCAGACUUGGAAGUGCCUGUACAUUUCCGAAAUGGCGUGCCUCGUGUGUCUCGCUGCCUUGUUCUUAGGCGUACGCCUCAUCCCAUGCAACAGCAAAAAGUAUAACAAACACUUCUUUAACGCUGGUGGUUACCUUGUUGCAGCCAAAUGGUGAAAGGUGUGAUGAAGACAGAUUGAACCAUUGUAUGCAGCAUGUGGUUGCAGUGUAAUCCAGAA
rnacentral:misc_RNA from 1 species